rnacentral:rRNA from 1 species
GAGUGGCGAACGGGUGAGUAAUAUAUCGGAACGUGCCUUUGAGUGGGGGAUAACUAGUCGAAAGAUUAGCUAAUACCGCAUACGAUUACGGAUGAAAGUGGGGGAUCGCAAGACCUCAUGCUCAUAGAGCGGCCGAUAUCUGAUUAGCUAGUUGGUGAGGUAAAGGCUCACCAAGGCAUCGAUCAGUAGCUGGUCUGAGAGGACGACCAGCCACACUGGGACUGAGACACGGCCCAGACUCCUACGGGAGGCAGCAGUGGGGAAUUUUGGACAAUGGGGGCAACCCUGAUCCAGCAAUGCCGCGUGAGUGAAGAAGGCCUUCGGGUUGUAAAGCUCUUUUGUCAGGGAAGAAACGGGAUGUCCUAGUACGAUGUCCUAAUGACGGUACCUGAAGAAUAAGCACCGGCUAACUACGUGCCAGCAGCCGCGGUAAUACGUAGGGUGCAAGCGUUAAUCGGAAUUACUGGGCGUAAAGCGUGCGCAGGCGGUUAUGUAAGACAGGUGUGAAAUCCCCGGGCUUAACCUGGGAAUGGCAUUUGUGACUGCAUAGCUAGAGUGUGUCAGAGGGGGGUAGAAUUCCACGUGUAGCAGUGAAAUGCGUAGAGAUGUGGAGGAAUACCGAUGGCGAAGGCAGCCCCCUGGGAUAACAC